ensembl:rRNA 5S_rRNA 5S ribosomal RNA
GCUUACGGCCAUACCACCCUGAGCACGCCCGAUCUCGUCUGAUCUCGGAAGCUAAGCAGUGUCGGGCCUGGUUUGUACUUGGAUGGGACACCGCCUGGGAAUACCAGGUGCUGUAAGCU